rnacentral:rRNA from 1 species
GAUGAACGCUGGCGGUGUGUCUAAGGCAUGCAAGUCGAAUGCUAAUAGCAAUAUUGGCAUGGCAAACGGGAGAGUAACACAUUGGUAACCUGCCUCAAAGACGGGGAUAACCUUGCGAAAGCGAGGAUAAUACCCGAUAGUAUGUCAGAACUCAAGUUCUGCCAUUAAAGCUACGACGCUUUGAGAGGGGCCUAUGUCCUAUCAGCUAGUUGGUGAGGUAAAAGCUCACAAAGGCGACGACGGGUAGCGGGCGCGAGAGCGUGACCCGCCUCACUGGGACUGAGAACUGCCCAGACUCCUACGGGAGGCUGCAGUCAAGAAUCUUCCUCAAUGGACGAAAGUCUGAAGGAGCGACACCGCGUGUAUGAAGAAGCCCUUCGGGGUGUAAAGUACUUUUAUCAGGGACGAAUCAAUGACGGUACCUGAUGAAUAAGGGGCUGCUAACCUCGUG